rnacentral:misc_RNA from 1 species
AUAGUAAGGCCAUUUAUCCUGUCUUUUCUCGUCACUCUUGUUUUCCUCAUACUUUUGAACCAAAGAAGCCCAGAGAGAUUUACACUGUCCAGGACUUCGAUCGACUCCAAUAGAAAGUAAAUUUGAAGAUAUCUCUUCCCAUAGUGCCAUUCGUCCACGAACAACUUGGAACUUGCUGUGGAGUUCCCCGCGCAACAUAAUCAAUUUCUUUAUCUCAUCAUGUUUCCAUCUGUUUCUCUUCAAAGGCUUGGAAGAUUUCAUCAUAGAUUGUGGAAAGCCAGAAUCAACUUGAACGCUCUCUUUUCUGGACGAUUCUGAUUCCUCCUCAGCGGUAGAAUAUUCAUCCAGUGAGUUUGCACUUGAAGUAGUUGCUCCAUCAUGCAUAAGUCUCUCAAUAUCCAUAUCAUCACCUUUCACUUGCUCAACUGCAUCAUCAACUGGAUAGCCAUUGCCAUUACCUCCUUCUGCACGUGCCCCACUUGCCUGUCUUCUUUUCUGAUCUUCAUCCAAUACAUUUCUAAGUGCUGAAAUUCCAAAACCUACAUGUGAUUUUCCAGAAAGUUUUCCAUUGAUUUCAUCAGCCAGAACUCCUGCAGGAUUCUCAAAGGCAACGGCAAUAACCUCAGGUCUUUUACUACUGUAUUUCCUGACCAAUUUCCUAAGAACUUCAGACACGGUUCUUUCCAUGUGGGACAAAGGGCAGUUCAAUGGACAGCUUGAAAGUGAAGCAUGUGCAGCUUUAUGGAGCGCAUCCAGAAGUUUCCCUUUGUCAAGCCACAAGCAGCGUGUGGUUAUUCUUA